CCUACGGGGGGCAGCAGUGAGGAAUAUUGGUCAAUGGACGAGAGUCUGAACCAGCCAAGUAGCGUGAAGGAUGACUGCCCUAUGGGUUGUAAACUUCUUUUAUACGGGAAUAACGCGCCUUACGUGUAGGGCUUUGCAUGUACCGUAUGAAUAAGGACCGGCUAAUUCCGUGCCAGCAGCCGCGGUAAUACGGAAGGUCCGGGCGUUAUCCGGAUUUAUUGGGUUUAAAGGGAGCGUAGGCCGCAUGUCAAGCGUGCUGUGAAAUGUCCGGGCUCAACCCGGGCCUUGCAGCGCAAACUGGCGUGCUUGAGUCCGCGGAAAGCAGGCGGAAUUCGUGGUGUAGCGGUGAAAUGCUUAGAUAUGACGAAGAACCCCGAUUGCGAAGGCAGCUUGCUGCAGCGGAACUGACGCUGAUGCACGAAAGCGCGGGUAUCGAACAGGAUUAGAUACCCGGGUAGUC
rnacentral:rRNA from 1 species